rnacentral:rRNA from 1 species
AUUGAACGCUGGCGGCGUGCUUAACACAUGCAAGUCGAUCGGUAACGCGGGGGCAACCCUGGCGACGAGAGGCGGACGGGUGAGGAACGCUUGGGAAUCUGCCCUUCAGCGGGGGACAACACGGGGAAACUCGUGCUAAUACCGCAUACGCUCCACGGAGGAAAGCCGGGGACCGCAAGGCCUGGCACUGAAGGAUGAGCCCAAGUCGGAUUAGCUAGUUGGCGGGGUAACGGCCCACCAAGGCGACGAUCCGUAGCUGGUCUGAGAGGACGAUCAGCCACACUGGGACUGAGACACGGCCCAGACUCCUACGGGAGGCAGCAGUGGGGAAUAUUGGACAAUGGGGGAAACCCUGAUCCAGCGACGCCGCGUGGGUGAAGAAGGCCUGCGGGUUGUAAAGCCCUUUCGGUAGGGACGAAAGCUCUCGACCUAACACGUCGGGAGGUUGACUUAACCUACAGAAGAAGCACCGGCUAACUCUGUGCCAGCAGCCGCCGUAAUAC